AAUGAACGCUGGCGGUAGGCCUAACACAUGCAAGUCGAACGGCCGGACAGUAAGAGCUUGCUCUUACUGGUGGCGAGUGGCGGACGGGUGAGGCAUACAUCGGCAUCUACUUUUUCGUGGGGGAUAACGUAGGGAAACUUCCGCUAAUACCUCAUACGACCUACGGGUGAGAGCAGGGGAUCUUCGGACCUUGCGCGAUUGAAUGAGCCGAUGUCGGAUUAGCUAGUUGGCAGGGUAAAGGCCCACCAAGGCAACGAUCCGUAGCCGGCCUGAGAGGGUGAUCAGCCACACUGGAACUGAGACACGGUCCAGACUCCUACGGGAGGCAGCAGUAGGGAAUCUUGCGCAAAGGGCGAAAGCCUGACGGAGCCACGCCGCGUGAGUGAUGAAGGUCUUCGGGUCGUAAAGCUCUGUUAUUAGGGAAGAACAGCUGUGUGAGUAACUGUGGAUAUCUUGACGGUACCUAAUGAGAAAGCACCGGCUAACUACGUG
rnacentral:rRNA from 1 species